UACACACUAGGAAAUGUACUUUUCAGAUUCGAGUAUCAGUAGAAGGCGUAGCAUUUCAGUGUGAGAAUGAAUCUUGUGUGACAACGCUACUUCUAUGUGAGAAUCUUUUGUACUAGAACAAUAUACUUUUGUGUUUAGUUUAGUUUAUUCCUUGUUGCUCCUUUGAGGAGCAUAGGGCUGCAACAACACCUCGCCAACAGACCCGGUUUUGGGCAGCCCCCUUCAGUUGGGUCCAUGUGGUUCCGACGUCCUUUGCCUCGUCUCUACUGUUCUUUUUCAAGUCUGCUUCGGUCUCCCGACUCUCCUCUUCUAAAAGAGUCGGCAAGGUGGCUUCCUUAAGGCUUUCACCAGCAUGCGUCAUAAGCUCUUCUAGAGAGGAAUCUUCCCGACCAAGCCCUUGUGGUACUGUUGCGUUUUCUGUAACAGCUUUUUUUUUUUUUUUUUUUUUUUUUUUUUUUUUUAAUAACAUGAGUGGGUUAUGAGCCCAAAGCAAAAACCCCCAACCUGGAGGUCCAGGGUGCAUUAUUUGAGUGUUGCCUGACAGACCUGUUCGUCUUUGUUAGACCUGCCAGGAGCACAAGGCUCCCGCCGACAUAGUUCUGUGGAUCGACAAGGCGCGCAAGCCACCACACCACUACGAGGUAAGUUGCACCAACUGGUGGUGGAUACUUUUGUGUGAAAACAUAAUUCUGUGCGAGAAUGAAUUUUCUCUGCGAGAACAUAUACUUGUGUGUCAGAAUGAAUCUUCUUUGUGAAAGAAGUACGUACACUCUGCAUAUUUACAACACAAUUUUGGCUUCUACCCUGCAGUGUGGAUGGUUCAUGAAUAAGGCCCUAAUUCGUGAAACGAUUCCUUUUACAUUUAGAUGUUUCAUUUUUUAGCCCCUCGCUUGUUGGCCUUACUAAUUUUGCUGGAGGGGAAAUUAUGAUUGUUUUCAGGCGGCAAAGUGCACAUGAGAACUGCGAGAACUGCUGCAUCAACCAUUCAUCAGUUCAAAUGGAAAGGCAGACGAGUCUUCACUGGUGGUGCAAACACUUCAAGAGAAUGCUAUUUGGCAAUGCGUGGGAGAUUCAGUUUAAAGCAUGUCGUCAGGGGCAUACUAUCUCUGCUAUUUUCAAAUGAGUUAGCCCGGUCUUACAACUUCCAUGGUCUGAAGGGACUCGAGAACUACCCCUUUCUUUUACAAACAGUUCAGGAUGCUGAAAGAAAAACUUGCCCUCAAGCUACGGAAGUGGAACUGCAGACGCAGAUCUCUAGCUGGUUAACUGGUGCUAGGGAUUGAGAGAAUGGCAGAAGGGAAAGGGCACCUGAGCACAGACUGUUAAAGUCAGUAAAUAGUUCUGGGUGUGGGGAACGAAUUGCAGGACAAGUAAAGCUGUACUAUUUUUGCAUAUUUAAAUUUUUUUUUUUAUUAACAAUUUCAAUAAACAUCAGUAAAUGACAAAUCAUGUUUGUUUUUUUGUAACAUUUUGUUUGGCAUUUAUAGGGUUAUUUUGAUGCAUUUGAUAUUAUUGGUAGUUCUAGGAAUUUUGACAUAUCCUGAUUUUAAAACAAUGUAAAUCAGAAUAUGCCAAAAUACCUAAAAUUACCAAUAAUAGCUGGAAAAGGUAUCUAGGUUCACAUGGUUCAUAUGGGAAACCCAUAUCGACCCACUGUAGGUUCUGUUUGCGCUUUCGGCAACAGGGCCUAUAUGGGUUUCCCAUAUGGUCCCAGAACACCUCAUAUGGGUCCUAUAUGGACUUCCUUUUAAUGCUACUAUCCCUAUGCGCAUCGUACUUUCAACUUAUCUAGGCCCUAAUAUAGGUUACCUAUAUUUGACGGGGGAGAGUACUCUUACCAACCAAGGGCCCUAACCCCUAAUAAGGGCACGUGACUUUUAGCCAAUGGUGUACUACGUGAUCGGAACUGCACGCCAUUUGCAAAGUUGUGUUUCUACACUUUUAGCAACAGGAAUUAUAAUUAAGCUUCUUCAGCCGUCAGUUCCAAUACUGAUACUUGUGUUGGACUCUUCAAUAACAGUAUGUAUAAUUUAUAUACUAUAAAUUAGCAUAGUUAUUGAGAUUUUAGUUCCAGAAAUGUCCAAGUUCAGUGCAGAAUAUUACGCUAAGAGAAGAAAGAUUAGAGUACACAUUAAUGCAAUAAAUGCACAAGUUUUCCAGAGAGAAGUAGAAAUCGGGCCCAGCAGUUCUGAAAGCAAUUUGAUAAUUCUUUAGCCGUUAGCGAUGCAGAGAAUUCGGAGCUGUCAGAAUUUCCUCAAAUAAAUUGCGAUUACGAAAGUGUAGGUCACGAACUUUACCAUUCGAAAGCAACAGAAUUUCGACAGUUCCUUCUGUUUACUGGUAUAGUAGCGUUAAAAGGCCAGGUUUCUUACAGGUAGUAUAAUAAUUUUUUCUCUUAUUUAUUGGGGUUCUUUGGUGUGUCUUGCAAGUCCUGGGCUGUGUGUGAGCUAUGCUAAUUAGGCUCAUAAUCUUUCAUUUUUAUGUGUUCAAGAAGCAGAGCGUUUGGAUGGUAAGGGAUUUUUGGUGUAUAAUGUACUUUGCUUUGUCACAAAUUGCUGAUAAUGUUGGCAGAUUUGGUCCUUUGGAGUUACUGUGCCUCUGAAUUUUAUACCUUUUUAGGCCAGCUUAAAUUUGUUCAAGCACCAAACUUUCCACUGUAGCAGGUAAUUAAGAAUAUUUGACAAAUUGCAGCAGAAGGAUUGUUUUCCAAGUGAUGAACCCCAAAAAACCUCAUAGAGAUAGUCCAUUGUUAACUGAUUGUGACUGGAAGUAUCAAUUCAGACAAAUUAACUUAAAUGGCAUUUUCUCUACAACAAAUGGUAAUGACUGUAUAAUAGUCAAUAAUGUAUUUGACUGUUAUUCUAGAUAGCUGGCUGCUGGCAUUUAAAGAUGGAAGUGAUCACAGGAUGUGCAACUGGCCACCACAAUCUAUUG